rnacentral:rRNA from 1 species
ACACUCCUGCGGGAGGCAGCAGUGGGGAAUAUUGCACAAUGGGCGCAAGCCUGAUGCAGCCAUGCCGCGUGUAUGAAGAAGGCCUUCGGGUUGUAAAGUACUUUCAGCGGGGAGGAAGGCGAUAAGGUUAAUAACCUUGUCGAUUGACGUUACCCGCAGAAGAAGCACCGGCUAACUCCGUGCCAGCAGCCGCGGUAAUACGGAGGGUGCAAGCGUUAAUCGGAAUUACUGGGCGUAAAGCGCACGCAGGCGGUCUGUCAAGUCGGAUGUGAAAUCCCCGGGCUCAACCUGGGAACUGCAUUCGAAACUGGCAGGCUAGAGUCUUGUAGAGGGGGGUAGAAUUCCAGGUGUAGCGGUGAAAUGCGUAGAGAUCUGGAGGAAUACCGGUGGCGAAGGCGGCCCCCUGGACAAAGACUGACGCUCAGGUGCGAAAGCGUGGGGAGCAAACAGGAUUAGAAACCCCAGUAGUCCCAUG